UACGUAGGGUGCGAGCGUUGUCCGGAAUUAUUGGGCGUAAAGGGCUCGUAGGCGGUUUGUCGCGUCGGGAGUGAAAACCAGGUGCUUAACACCUGGCUUGCUUUCGAUACGGGCAGACUAGAGGUAUGCAGGGGAGAACGGAAUUCCUGGUGUAGCGGUGAAAUGCGCAGAUAUUAGGAAGAACACCGGUGGCGAAGGCGGCUCUCUGGAACGGUACUGACGCUGAGACGCGAAAGCGUGGGGAGCGAACAGG
rnacentral:rRNA from 1 species